CGGAUCUUUAACAUGCAAGUCGAACGGCAGCACGGACUUCGGUCUGGUGGCGAGUGGCGAACGGGUGAGUAAUAUAUCGGAACGUGCCCAGUCGUGGGGGAUAACGCAGCGAAAGCUGUGCUAAUACCGCAUACGAUCUAUGGAUGAAAGCGGGGGAUCGCAAGACCUCGCGCGAUCGGAGCGGCCGAUAUCAGAUUAGCUAGUUGGUGGGGUAAAGGCCCACCAAGGCGACGAUCUGUAGCUGGUCUGAGAGGACGACCAGCCACACUGGAACUGAGACACGGUCCAGACUCCUACGGGAGGCAGCAGUGGGGAAUUUUGGACAAUGGGCGCAAGCCUGAUCCAGCAAUGCCGCGUGCAGGAUGAAGGCCUUCGGGUUGUAAACUGCUUUUGUACAGAACGAAAAGGCUCUGGUUAAUACCUGGGGCUCAUGACGGUACUGUAAGAAUAAGCACCGGCUAACUACGUGCCAGCAGCCGCGGUAAUACGUAGGGUGCAAGCGUUAAUCGGAAUUACUGGGCGUAAAGCGUGCGCAGGCGGUGAUGUAAGACAGAGGUGAAAUCCCCGGGCUCAACCUGGGAACUGCCUUUGUGACUGCAUCGCUGGAGUACGGCAGAGGGGGAUGGAAUUCCGCGUGUAGCAGUGAAAUGCGUAGAUAUGCGGAGGAACACCGAUGGCGAAGGCAAUCCCCUGGGCCUGUACUGACGCUCAUGCACGAAAGCGUGGGGAGCAAACAGGAUUAGAUACCCUGGUAGUCCACGCCCUAAACGAUGUCAACUGGUUGUUGGGUCUUC
rnacentral:rRNA from 1 species